rnacentral:rRNA from 1 species
UUAAACCAGGWUAGAUACCCUGUUAUACUAAAACUAAAACAAUAACAAUCUUGAGUAGUAACAAUUAAUUAGUUCGAAAUUCAAAGAGUUUGGCGGUAUUCUAGUCUAGUUAGAGGAACCUGUUUUAUAAACGAUAUUCCGCGUAAAAUCUUUCUCACCUUGGUUAAAGCCAGUAUACCAUCAUUAUUAGAUAAUUUCACUUGCUGAAGAAAUUAUUGUAACUGAGUAAAUUUAAAUAUAUUAGAUCACGGUGCUGCUAAUAGGUGAGUUCAAAUGGGUUACAAUAAUUUUAACUUAUCACGGACCCGUAAAUGAAAUACUAUGGAGAAGGUGGAUUUGAUAGUAAUGUAAAUUUAAUACGUUUAUAUGAGACCAGCUCUAGAAUAUGUACAUAUCGGCCGUCGCAA